AGAGUUUGAUCAUGGCUCAGAAUCAACGCUGGCGGCGUGCCUAACACAUGCAAGUCGAACGAGAAAGUGGAGCAAUCCAUGAGUACAGUGGCGACCGGGUGAGUAACACGUGAUCAACCUGCCCUCGAGUGGGGAAUAACUCCGGGAAACCGGAGCUAAUACCGCAUAACAUCGUGAGAUCAAAGCCGCAAGGCGCUCGAGGAGGGGGUCGCGGCUGAUUAGCUAGUUGGUAGGGUAAUGGCCUACCAAGGCGAAGAUCGGUAUCCGGCCUGAGAGGGCGCACGGACACACUGGAACUGAAACACGGUCCAGACUCCUACGGGAGGCAGCAGUGGGGAAUUUUGCGCAAUGGGGGAAACCCUGACGCAGCAACGCCGCGUGGAGGAUGAAGUCCCUUGGGACGUAAACUCCUUUCGACCCGGACGAUACUGACGGUACGGGUGGAAGAAGCACCGGCUAACUCUGUGCCAGCCGCCGCGGUAAUC
rnacentral:rRNA from 1 species